AUCAUCAUCAAUAACAACAACGUAGUCGUCAACGUCAGAAAAAAUUUUCAAUUUGGUUACAGGAAACAACAACAACAGCACAAGCAAAGUGGAGCUAAACUGAAUAUCUGAAAUAGAAAUCUUGAUGAUAAAAUACAGAAAAUAUACAAACAGGGAGAUAGAGAGAGAGAGAUGACGUUGGAAUGAUUGAUCCAACAACAACAACAACAACAACAGCAACAACAGACGAGACAACUUUCAAUAGAAAGCGAUGAAAACAAGGAAGACGUGUGUGUGAGCGGCCAUAAUCCAAUAUUAAUCCGACUUUCUCUCUCUUUUUUUUAUCGAUUUGUGUAUGAUCAUCAUCAUCAUCAUCAUUGGCAACAAUUUACCGACUU